CUGGAAGAGACUUAGUAAAAGACAGGACUGCUCCUGACAUUUUGCUGGGAAGCAAAGAAACCAGAAGACAUGCCUCCGUGCCAGGAAGGAGAAAGUAAACCACAGCUGGAAACCUAAGCGGAGGAAGAAUGGUCUUCCAAUUAAGAGGAACUGUGUUUGAAGAGCUAUUAUUAAAGAACCACCCCUGAGAAGCUUUAUUUUCCCCUGGACCCAAUUUAGAGAAUGACAUACUGGACUUCUGGCUGAUGCUGUAAUGGGAAAAUUAGCUGGGCGUGGUGGUGAGGACCUGCAGUUCCAGCUACUCAGGAGGCUGAGACAAGAGAAUAGCAUGAACCCGGGAGGCAGAGCUUGCAGGAAGCCGAGAUCGCCCAGGAAGCCGAGAUAGCGCAACUGUACUCCAGCCUGGGUGACAGAGCGAGACUCCAUCUCAAAAAAAAAAAAAAAAAAAAAUUGGGGUAUAGCCAUAUUGGAGCAAAGGAAAGGCAAACAGGUAGAGAUACAAGAGCUAAAAACCUACAUCCCUUAACAGAGUCAGUGAACACCAUCUAAAACUGAUGCAUAAAUAGCAGAACAUGCAUAUUAUGUAGAAAAUACGGAGACAAAUAUCAGAAGAAUUACCUAAAAUUGUUGAAAGGCCUUGUUUCUUUUUUUUUCUUUAUUAUUGUACUUUAAGUUCUAGGGUACAUGUGCACAAUGUGCAGGUUUGUUACAUAUGUAUACAUGUCCCAUGUUGGUGUGCUGCACCCAUUAACUCGUCAUUUACAUUAGGUAUAUCUCCUAAUGCUAUCCCUCCCCCCUCCCCCCACCCCACAACAUUCCCCGAUGUGUGAUGUUCCCCUUCCUGUGUUCAUGUGUUCUCAUUGUUCAAUUCCCACCUAUGAGUGAAAACGUGGUGUUUGGUUUUCUGUCCUUGCAAUAGUUUGCUGAGAAUGAUGGCUUCCAGCUUCAUCCAUGUCCCUACAAAGGACAUGAACUCAUCCUUUUUUAUGGCUGCAUAGUAUUCCAUGGUGUAUAUGUGUCACAUUUUCUUAAUCCAGUCUAUCAUUGAUGGACAUUUGGGUUGGUUCCAAAUCUUUGCUAUUGUGAAUAGUGCCACAAUAAACAUAUGUGUGCAUGUGUCUUUAUAGCAGCAUGAUUUAUAAUCCUUUGGGUAUAUAUCCAGUAAUGGGACUGUUGGGUCAAAUGGUAUUUCUAGUUCCAGAUCCAUGAGGAAGCACCGCACUGUCUUCCAUAAUGGUUGAACUAGUUUACAGUCCCACCAACAGUGUAAAAGUGUUCCUAUUUCUCCACAUCCUCUCCAACACCUGUUGUUUCCUGACUUUUUAAUGAUCGCCAUUCUAACUGGUGUGAGAUGGUAUCUCAUUGUGGUUUUGAUUUGCCUUUCUCUGAUGACCAGUGAUGAUGAGCAUUUUUUUGUGUGUCUUUUGGCUGCAUAAAUGUCUGCUUUUGAGAAGUGUCUGUUCAUAUCCUUCACUCACUUUUUGAUAAGGUUGUUUGUUUUUUUCUUGUAAAUUUGUUUGAGUUCUUUGUAGAUUCUGGAUAUUAGCCCUUUGUCAGAUGAGUAGAUUGCAAAAAUUUUCUCCCAUUCUGUAGUUUGCCUGUUCA
rnacentral:lncRNA from 1 species